GAUGAACGCUGGCGGCGUGCUUAACACCUGCAAGUCGAACGGUGAAGGCGGAGCUUGCUCUGCUGGAUCAGUGGCGAACGGGUGAGUCACACGUGAGCAAUCUGCCCCUGACUCUGGGAUAAGCGCUGGCAACGGCGUCUAAUACUGGAUACGAGCUGCGAAGGCAUCUUCAGCAGCUGGAAAGAACUUCGGUCAGGGAUGAGCUCGCGGCCUAUCAGCUUGUUGGUGAGGUAACGGCUCACCAAGGCGUCGACGGGUCGCCGGCCUGAGAGGGUGACCGGCGACACUGGGACUGAGAGACGGCCCAGACUCCUACGGGAUGCAGCAGUGGGGAAUAGUGCAAAAUGGGCGAAGGCCUGACGCAGCAACGCCGCGUGAGGGAUGACGGCCUUCGGGUUGUAAACCGCUUUUGGCAGGGAAGAAGCGAAAGUGACGGUACCUGCAGAAAAAGCUGCGGCUAACUACGUG
rnacentral:rRNA from 1 species